rnacentral:SRP_RNA from 1 species
AUCACUUAAUCUUGUCAGGACUGAAAAGUAGCAUCAAUAGAGUUG